GGGAAGGGUAUUAUUGUGAUUCUGCUGUUCAAAUCCACAAUCUGCAACAAAACCGGAGGUUGCAUGAAUUUCUAUUCAAACAAGAGUAAUGCUAUAUAUCAAUAUCACGAAAUGUCUCUGAUUUACACCUUUGCAAUCCUUUCAAUAACCUUAUUUCUAUAUCGGCGUAUACUAUGCAAACAUAAUCUCGGCAUAGCCACGCGAAAGGACUCGAGAAAGAUUGAAAUAAUAAUUAUCCAUAAAGAAGGUGCUACAGAUCUAAUUCAAAAGAACUGCAGAAAAUAUAUCGUCGCCAUAAAUUAUGUUAUAGCGUAUAACAGCAUUUGAUAUUUAGUGAAGGCGCAGGAAUGUAUGGGGCGUAUUUUUUCAGCACGUUAAUUUUAGCGAGAAACCUCUUUUCUAUUUGGAGGUUUUUAUAGGAUAUGUCAAUAUUCUAUAAUCGAUUACUGCAGCCUGACAUCUGUUUCAAUAACCACACGUACAUGUUGGAACUUUUAAGCCUUCGCUGUAUGAAUUUUACUAACUUAGAAAACCGACCUUGAUAAUAGACGUGUUAGCUGAAUCCGAGUUGAUAGCAGAGUAAUUUUUACCAAAAAAAUUUGGAAAAAAUUGCAACGUAUUUUAAAUCAUAUGACCUUAUCUGGAUGAAAGAUAGCUUUUUAGGAAAACCGUGGAACCAAUCGAUAUAAGAUUCGUACUUAGCAUACUGUGCGUUACACAGCGACUCUGAUAGUACUUCGAAUUAUUCUCGUAAAUAUUUCUUAUUUAUAUUACAUGAGGUAUUUUUGGGUGUAUUCUUCUUUUUUGGCCUUGUCAUUCCAUAUCGCAGGAGAAGAUAGAAUACGACAAAAUAUUUCAAGACCCGUGUAACAAGAAAAAGAAAAAGAUAUAAUGCUCGAGAAGCUUCGAAUGCUUUACUCAUAUAACGGAUUGAUAUAGGUAACACUAUAUAUUUCUGGAAGCAGAGAUGGAUGCGGAAUCCAUCGAAUGGAAACUAACUGCAAAUUUACGUAAUGGACCUACUUUUUUUCAACCGUUAGCCGACUCUAUUGAACCAUUACAGUUCAAACUUAUCGGAUCGGAUACAGUGGCAACUGCAUUUCCUGUAUUUGACACCAAAUAUAUACCGGACUCACUCAUUAACUAUCUUUUUAAAUUGUUUAAUUUGGAAAUUGAAAGUGGCAAGACUUAUCCACAAUUGCACAGUUUGACAAAACAGG
rnacentral:lncRNA from 1 species